ensembl:snoRNA Gm22791 predicted gene, 22791
CCUGUCUCAAAAAGAAAAAGUGGUAUUAUAGAUGUGGCUACUUUGUUGCAUGUGUGACAGUAGGUGGCAGAGAAGAGAAAGGCUGUUAUGUUGAUGCUCAGUGUUCCUGACCUAGGAACCUAUGAAUACUUAGUAGCCUAACAUC